UGCUUGCUGUGCUUCAGUCUAGCAGCAGUUCCUGCUCUUCCAUUGCCCUAUCUCUGCUGCCUGUGAGGCAGCAGCAGCAGAGGGGAUUUGAAAAAAUACCUCCACAUCUGCGGCUUCCGUUGUCCAGCACUCUUCCUGCCUCUCCAUACUCUUGUGAACAUAGCUACCAGAAAAGGCACCCUGGACAAGAAAGAAACCCACCUAAGGCAAAAUUCAGCUUGUGUUAUAAUAAACACUCAGCUAAAUGAGACCGCAGAAACUACAUAACCCAAGAAGGAUGCUUUGUCUAAAAAGAGUUCAUUUGUUUCCAGUUCAGCAGAAAGCAACAGUCAUGUGGGAGAAAUAUUCAUUACCAAUACAACUGCAGCUACUGAACCAUCUUCUCUGUGCUGUUCCGUUCCUCUAAAGUAAGAUUUGUAUAAAUUUCAGUGUCAUGCAAACUGUCAAAGAUAACCUCUGGUCUUAGAAGCAAGAAAGCAAAUUCUGUAAGUUUUAACUACUUUGUAGUGGUUUGUUGAUCUUGUAGCUAUUCUGAAAUAGGAAGCCAAAUUUCAAAGGUAAUUUGAGAUUUAUGAGAUGUUACACAAGGCAAGAACAAUUCUUAAAGCAGUUUCAGAUUUUCUGUUAAUUUGUUUUUAAUUAUGGUGUUGUAAGCAGCCUUUAACACUUGUGUGUCCAUGGAGCUUUCCGGGAAUGCUUUACUGAGAUCCCACGCAGAGAUGCUGGAUCAUCUGACCCAUGAAGAACUGGAUCUAGAGGUGAAUGACUCUUCGCAGGGGCUCAUUUAACAAGAGCUUUGGCAGACAGACAAAGUCUUUCUGCAGACCUUCUGACAGAAGACAAACUCAAACUAUCCAUGGUAUGGAAUAAAAAGAGAGAAGAUUU